CCUACGGGUGGCAGCAGUGAGGAAUCUUGGUCAAUGGACGCAAGUCUGAACCAGCCAAGUAGCGUGAAGGAUGACUGCCCUACGGGUUGUAAACUUCUUUUAUAUGGGAAUAAAAUGUUCCACGUGUGGGACAUUGUAUGUACCCUAUGAAUAAGGAUCGGCUAACUCCGUGCCAGCAGCCGCGGUAAUACGGAGGAGCCGACAGUUAUCCGGAAUUAUUGGGUGUAAGGGGAGCGUAGGGGGAUUGUUAAGUCAGUUGUGAAAGUUUGCGGCUCAACCGUAAGAGUGCAGAUGAAACUGGCAGACUUGAGUACAGUAGAGGUGGGCGGAAUUCGUGGUGUAGCGGUGAAAUGCUUAGAUAUCACGAAGAACUCCGAUUGCGAAGGCAGCUCACUGGACUGCAACUGACACUGAGGCUCGAAAGUGAGGGGAUCGAACGGGAUUAGAUACCCGAGUAGUC
rnacentral:rRNA from 1 species